AGUAGGUGCUUCCUGCUGGGCUGCUCGCUCCUCCGCUUCUGUCCGCUCCGCGGCGGGAAGCGCCUUCCCCACAGGACAUCAAUGCAAGCCUGAAUAAGAAAAACAAUUUCUUCCUUCUAAGCCAUGGCAUAUCAGUUAUACAGAAACACCACUUUGGGAAACAGUCUCCAGGAGAGCCUUGAUGAGCUCAUACAGUCUCAACAGAUCACCCCCCAACUUGCCUUUCAAGUUCUACUUCAGUUUGAUAAAGCUAUAAAUUCAGCAUUGGUGCAGAGGGUCAGGAACAGAGUCAAUUUCAGGGGCUCUCUAAAUACAUACAGAUUCUGUGAUAACGUGUGGACUUUUGUUUUGAAUGAUGUUGAAUUCAGAGAGGUGACAGAACUUAUUAAAGUGGAUAAAGUGAACAUUGUAGCCUGUGAUGGUAGAAAUACUGGCUCCAAUACUACAGAAUGAAUUGAAAAAAAAUGGCUUUUUUAAUGCCAUCUUCUGUUAUUAUUCAUCGCUUUUUUGAAGAGAAGCAUAGAAGAGACUUUUUUUUUAUUUAUUCUGGCAUCGCAGAAAUGACUACACUGUGUUAUAGAUACUAUCAGAAUUCCAAUAGAAAGAAGCCUAUAACUCUAGCCUCUUACAUUACCUUUUCAGCAUGAAGAAACAGAAGUUUUUUUUUUAAUAACAAACAUUGUUGCCUUCCUAAGAACAUUCUUGAAUAAACUCAUUUUAAAACUCA